UGGGGAAUUUUGGACAAUGGGGGCAACCCUGAUCCAGCCAUCCCGCGUGUGCGAUGAAGGCCUUCGGGUUGUAAAGCACUUUUGGCAGGGAAGAAAAGGCUCUGGCUAAUACCUGGAGCUGCUGACGGUACCUGCAGAAUAAGCACCGGCUAACUACGUGCCAGCAGCCGCGGUAAUACGUAGGGUGCAAGCGUUAAUCGGAAUUACUGGGCGUAAAGCGUGCGCAGGCGGUUCGGCAAGAAGGAUGUGAAAUCCCAGGGCUUAACCUUGGAACUGCAUUCUUAACUGCCGGGCUAGAGUAUGUCAGAGGGGGGUAGAAUUCCGCGUGUAGCAGUGAAAUGCGUAGAGAUGCGGAGGAAUACCGAUGGCGAAGGCAGCCCCCUGGGAUAAUACUGACGCU
rnacentral:rRNA from 1 species